UACAGAGGUCUCAAGCGUUGUUCGGAUUUAUUGGGCGUAAAGGGUGCGCAGGCCGCAUGGUAAGUUUGGUGUGAAAUCCUGGAGCUUAACUCCAGAAUUGCACUGAAUACUGCCGUGCUAGAGGACUGGAGAGGAGAUUGGAAUUCACGGUGUAGCAGUGAAAUGCGUAGAUAUCGUGAGGAAGACCAGUGGCGAAGGCGAAUCUCUGGACAGUGCCUGACGCUCAUGCACGAAGGCCAGGGGAGCAAACGGG
rnacentral:rRNA from 1 species